CCUACGGGCGGCAGCAGUGGGGAAUAUUGGACAAUGGGGGGAACCCUGAUCCAGCCAUGCCGCGUGUGUGAAGAAGGCCCUCGGGUUGUAAAGCACUUUCAGUGAGGAAGAACGCCUGGUGGUUAAUACCCAUCAGGAAAGAUAUCACUCACAGAAGAAGCACCGGCUAACUCCGUGCCAGCAGCCGCGGUAAUACGGAGGGUGCGAGCGUUAAUCGGAAUUACUGGGCGUAAAGCGCGCGUAGGUGGCUUGAUAAGCCGGUUGUGAAAGCCCCGGGCUCAACCUGGGAACGGCAUCCGGAACUGUCAAGCUAGAGUGCAGGAGAGGAAGGUAGAAUUCCCGGUGUAGCGGUGAAAUGCGUAGAGAUCGGGAGGAAUACCAGUGGCGAAGGCGGCCUUCUGGACUGACACUGACACUGAGGUGCGAAAGCGUGGGUAGCAAACAGGAUUAGAUACCCUGGUAGUC
rnacentral:rRNA from 1 species